UUAAUUGAAGAGUUUGAUCAUGGCUCAGAUUGAACGCUGGCGGCAGGCCUAACACAUGCAAGUCGAGC
rnacentral:rRNA from 1 species